rnacentral:rRNA from 1 species
UAAAGUGGCGACCGGGUGAGUAACACGUGACUAACCUACCUUCAAGUGGGGGAUAACCUCGGGAAACCGGGGCUAAUACCGCAUAACAUCUUUGGAGUGGAAAUUCUGGAGAUCAAAGGAGCAAUUCGCUGGAAGAGGGGGUCGCGGCUGAUUAGCUAGUUGGCGGGGUAAUGGCCCACCAAGGCUUUGAUCGGUAGCCGGCCUGAGAGGGCGCACGGCCACACUGGAACUGAAACACGGUCCAG